AUUGAACGCUGGCGGCGUGCUUAACACAUGCAAGUCGAUCGGUAACGCGGGGGCAACCCUGGCGACGAGAGGCGGACGGGUGAGGAACGCUUGGGAAUCUGCCUAUCGGCGGGGGACAAUCCGGGGAAACUCGGGCUAAUACCGCAUACGCUCUACGGAGGAAAGCCGGGGACCGCAAGGCCUGGCACUGAUAGAUGAGCCCAAGUCGGAUUAGCUAGUUGGCGGGGUAACGGCCCACCAAGGCGACGAUCCGUAGCUGGUCUGAGAGGACGAUCAGCCACACUGGGACUGAGACACGGCCCAGACGCCUACGGGAGGCAGCAGUGGGGAAUAUUAGACAAUGGGGGAAACCCUGAUCCAGCGACGCGGCGUGGGUGAAGAAGGCCUGCGGGUUGUAAAGCCCUUUCGGUAGGGACGAAAGCUCUCGACCUAACACGUCGGGAGGUUGACUUAACCUACAAAAGAAGCACCGGCUAACUCUGUGCCAGCCGCCGCAGUAACAC
rnacentral:rRNA from 1 species